GAGAUAGAGCUUCCCCUUCGGGGGCAAAGUGACAGGUGGUGCAUGGUUGUCGUCAGCUCGUGUCGUGAGAUGUUGGGUUAAGUCCCGCAACGAGCGCAACCCUUAUUGUUAGUUGCCAUCAUUUAGUUGGGCACUCUAGCGAGACUGCCGGUGACAAACCGGAGGAAGGUGGGGAUGACGUCAAAUCAUCAUGCCCCUUAUGACCUGGGCUACACACGUGCUACAAUGGGAAGUACAACGAGUUGCGAAGUCGCGAGGCUAAGCUAAUCUCUUAAAGCUUCUCUCAGUUCGGAUUGUAGGCUGCAACUCGCCUACAUGAAGCCGGAAUCGCUAGUAAUCGCGGAUCAGCACGCCGCGGUGAAUACGUUCCCGGGCCUUGUACACACCGCCCGUCACACCACGAGAGUUUGUAACACCCGAAGUCGGUGAGGUAACCUUUUUGGAGCCAGCCGCCUAAGGUGGGAUAGAUGAUUGGGGUGAAGUCGUAACAAGGUAGCCG
rnacentral:rRNA from 1 species